GUGGUUGGUGUCAGAGAGCAGGUGGCGUCGGUGGCUGCGAGCAGAGCUAGGAGCGGCGAUGGCAGAAGACCAAGGCUUAGGGUUUCCUGUUUCUUUUUUUGUGUUGGGCCAUUUGAGCUGUUUAGGUUUUGUUUAGGAUUGGGUUUGGGUUGAGUUUAAUUUCGGGCCUGUAAUUGGGUUUGGGUAGGUUUAAUUGGUUUGGGUUUGUUUAAAUGUACUGGGCUGAUUUUGGGUUAGGUCUAGGUGGGUAUAGGGUUGGUUUUAUUUGGACCAUAUUGGGCCCCGGGUAAAUUUGGGCUUGUACAAUAACAUUGAUAGCUUAGGAAUGUAAUUAGAAUAUUGUUUUAAAGUUUGGGGGCGAUUUAGAAAGGAGGUUAUAUUUUAGGGAUGUACGGCGCAAUUAACUCUAAAAAUCAUAAUUAAUAUUUGGAUUAAUUCCACCGAACAUCCCCAAAUUAUAGUUCAUAUUCUAAGUUGAUCCUAAAAUUCAAAAAAUUCUGAUUUAAUCCUUAAAUUAUUAAUAUAGUAUCAAUCUUAUCCUUCCAUCC
rnacentral:lncRNA from 1 species